UCCAGACUCCUACGGGAGGCAGCAGUGGGGAAUAUUGGACAAUGGGGGGAACCCUGAUCCAGCGACGCCGCGUGAGUGAAGAAGUAUUUCGGUAUGUAAAGCUCUCUCAGCAGGGAAGAAAGAAAUGACGGUACCUGGCUAAGAAGCCCCGGCUAACUACGUGCCAGCAGCCGCGGUAAUACGUAGGGGGCAAGCGUUAUCCGGAUUUACUGGGUGUAAAGGGAGCGUAGACGGCGAUGCAAGUCUGAAGUGAGAGGCGGGGGCCCAACCCCCGGACUGCUUUGGAAACUGUAUGGCUGGAGUGCAGGAGAGGUAAGUGGAAUUCCUAGUGUAGCGGUGAAAUGCGUAGAUAUUAGGAGGAACACCAGUGGCGAAGGCGGCUUACUGGACUGUAACUGACGUUGAGGCUCGAAAGCGUGGGGAGCAAACAGGAUUAGAUACCCGCGUA
rnacentral:rRNA from 1 species